AUUCAACCUAAACACUUUUUCAAUCUCUUCAGCUGAGAACAAAAGACAACAGAAAGACACAUAAGCAGAGAAUCAUCAAUAAUACUACUGCUUCAAGUAUGUUUCAGCUUUCAACUCUUGAUUUUGUACAGUUUACACUGCAGAGGUAAAACUACAACCAAGAACUAAUUGAUCCCAGCCAGCCAGGAAUUUAAUUCAUUCUUCCAGCUAUACUUGAUAAAUCUGUGUGAAUAUUAGCUGAUAUAUCAUUUAUUUAACUCUUCAUUUCUUUUUCCUCUAUUUCUGUCAAUUUGUUGAUUACUGUUAUUGGAUAGAACGAUUUAAUUGCCCAUGUUAUCUAAUGGCCAGACUUUAUUUGUAGCUGGACACUUUAUUUACAGGGCAUACAUAGAAUCUAUACAAAUCUUGCGACACAAACAGCUUUAUUUCCCAACAAUCUGCUGCGGAAAAGUUCUCCAGUAUUUCGGAAUUUGAUGAACUUUCGGAGCAAGGUUUGGGUUUGUUUCGGAAAAGCUUGCUGCUAGAAUUUUGAUCAACUUUGGGAGAAACCUUUCAAUUGAAGCCGCUUAACCCCAAAAUGGAAGAGAGAUUGCAGUAGUCAUAUAUUUCCUCGCUGACUGGAAAGUAAAAAUCAUCUCUUUGCAUGGAUUUUCAAGCACUCAAAUCUUUCAAAGGAGCAAAUUCUUGACUGGAUAUUGAGGUUGCUCUUCUCUGGUCAUGAAACUUCAUUAGUAUCCAUAGCUUUAGUCAUAUAUUUCCUGCCUGACUGUCCUAAUACAAUUGAACAAUAACAUACAACGAUUUUUCUGCAGCAACGCGCGGGCACGUUUUCAAGGUUGUAUUUGCUAGAGGACUCUAGAAUAUUAAUGUGUCUAAAACUCUCCUUAGUCCUUAUUUAAGAGUGUUUUUAGUUUGGUUGGAGUAGACUAACAGUCCAGGUUGAGUAGCUCUUCUUUGUAUCAAUUCUGUUUUUGAGCAGUGAA